UUUUCCCCCGAUUUCUUCUUCUUUUUUAUUCCCCGAUUUCUUCAGCUGCUGCUCUAUCCUACUCACUCCAUCUUCUUCCCUCCUCCAUCUGCAUCGCCGUCCCUGUCAACGAAGCACCGAACGAGACAAACAUUGUUGUCCCUGCAUCCGAGCAUAUCAUUAAUUUUCUAGGCGCGACAAAGGUGUAAUGCUUGGGCAGAUUUGGGGAAGCAAGAACUUCCGGUGUCUGGGCCGAUCUGGGGGAAAGAAUUUGAAAACUUAGGUGAUUGGGUGUCCAAAAACCAUUGAUGGUGACUUGAAAUGCAAAGAAUUCCCAACAUGUUUUGGGUUUGAUACUGCUUGCAAGAUAUAUGCAUAAAGGAUUGGAAAUGUCAUGAUAGAUGCCAGAUCAACUGGAAAAUAUUAUCACUUUGUGCGACUUAUGGGGCGUGCAGCUUCGCACAUAACACUUGAAUGUAUAUUGCUCUUAUGUCUUUAUUUUCACAAUCAAUGUUUAUCAUUAUAUGUGUGUCUGUUUUUUCAAAGAAUGCUAAGGAUUAAGAUUGUUCCAUACUUGAGAUUUUUUAUUUUUUUAAAAAAAUAUCUAGUGUUGGAAGAUUUUCCAUUGAUAUUAGAUCAGCCAUGUACAUUCAUAUCAGCCACAACUAUGAUAUCCUUGUUUCUGUUUUAGUUCUAGUUUCCUUAUUUUCUGUUUUAAUUCUAUUUUCCUUAUUUAGUUUAUUGUGUAUUAUAAUUUGAUAGGAUGAUGUUUUAUUUUGUUUCCAAUCUUAUGAAAAGUAAGAUCAAUUUUGAUUUCAGAGAAUUGAAUACCUGAUAGUCACCUAGGCUAUUUAUACGCCUCUCUUGACUUGGGAAUAUUCAGUAGUUUUCUUGUAUUAGAUAUUUGGUUUCUUGAUGUUUUAUCACACAUAUCAAGAAAGUGAGGAUUGUUUAUUGUAUAAAAUUGGAUAUUGGGAUUUUUUUUCCUAUUUGAAGAAAGGUUUUGAGGGUGUUUUGUUUUCUGAUUUUGCGAGGGUUUGGAUUUUCUGUUGUUUCAAGUAUGGCUUUUCCACACUAUUCUUGUAUGAUUUUUUUCGUUAAUACAAGUUUCUUUCUUUUUUAAUUUUCAUAUAAAAAAGAAAAUUAUAUUGUGUUGUUUCAGAGAUAAUCAGUUAUUCCAAAAAAUUUGGAUGGUGAAGUAAAUAUAGGAGCACAUUUGUUUAUUUAUUUUUUAUGGUAGUAUUACUUUCUAUCCUUUUUAUUUUUUAUUUUUAUUUUUCAUGAAGUAAAAAGGUUGUUCUGUAGAAUAUAUUUAAAUAGAAGAAACAUGAUUUUGAGUAGGCAAAUGCAGAGCCUGCAAAUGAUGAAGAUGUUGGCAGCAUAUAUGAGGUCUGUAAAAGUCAAAUACUCUUGCAAAUUACAUGCUGAUUCAACAGCCUUUUAAAUAAAUUCUCAAGGCUUAUUUUUUCAUGUACAUUUAAAAUAUACAAUUAAAUGAACAAAACAGAUGCAUAAAAAUAGACCAGCAUACCGAUGUUAGACAUAUUUUUUACUCGGGAAGGGUGAGAAAAUGAGUAUCAUUAUUAACACACCUUAAAAAAGUAAGGCAUAUAAAUGUUGAAAAGCUUUAUUCUCUUUUGUACUAAUGUGGGAGUGUUCUGUUUUCUGGAUUUUGGGAUUUCUCACCACUCUUGUAGACUAUAUCCUUACAUUGUUUUGCUGAAGUCUUGUGUGCGUUAGACUUAAGAGCCUGGAUCUACUUUAGUUUCAUUAGAUAAAUUGUUAUUAUUGAAAUAUGAGUAGACUAUUACUUAAAAGAGAUGAGCGCAGGUACUGCUAUAUAUAUCUUUCUUUAGGCCUGAUGGUAGCCUGGUAACCACAAGGACUGAUCCUAAGUUGUUGGAAAAUUGUGGUGGUGGAUAGAGGUUGGGCUUAUUGUCAUGUUGUAGAUUUGGAGUUUUAAUAACGUAAGUUUGGGAGAACUUUAAUUUUAUCAUUUGUGAUUGUGACAUUUUCUUGUGAUGGCCAUCAGUAGGAAACAAAUAGAAACCUCUGUUUCUUGACUGUUACAAGUUGAUAAAGUAUCUACUAAUCUAUCUGUAUGGCUUGAUGAAUAUGCUCUUGAAAUUUUUUGACAAUUUCUCCAUUUCAUUAGUUUGAAAUGGAGUCUAGUAUAUAGUCACAUUAACUUUGCAUGUACAUGACUAUUGCUUGAAUGAGACACCUAUACGAUGGCUAACUAGUAA